GAUGAACGCUGGCGGCGUGCCUAACACAUGCAAGUCGAACGGGAUCCCCUGGAUUCGUCUGGGGGUGAGAGUGGCGAAUGGGUGAGUAACACGUAGGUGACCUACCCCAAAGAGGGGAAUAACCACUGGAAACGGUGGCUAAUACCCCAUACGCUCGGCGGUUCGGUCCGUCGAGAAAAGCUCCGGCGCUUUGGGAGGGGCCUGCGGCCCAUCAGGUAGUUGGUAGGGUAAUGGCCUACCAAGCCAAUGACGGGUAGGGGGCGUGAGAGCGUGAUCCCCCACACUGGCACUGAUACACGGGCCAGACUCCUACGGGAGGCAG
rnacentral:rRNA from 1 species